rnacentral:misc_RNA from 1 species
CAUGCGUUUUAAUUCAGUAAUGGCUGACAUCUCGUGUGGAAAGGACAGCAGCUGUGAAUAGUGUAAAACUUAUUUUUGAAUUUACGACGUAAAAAGUGAUUGACAAGUUUCAGGACUGACCCAGACGAUAAUUAUGCAGCAGGAGUCUGGGUCCUUAAAAACUCUUCCUGCUCCCUCCUAUAUACCUCUGGAUGGACGAAACCAUCUCAGAGGGGUUCAGAGUCGACCCUACAGACACCAGUAUCCUAGUAAUCAUUACAACAGAACAAAAAGGAAGAGAGAGUCUUCAUCCUCCAACGGGCACACAACAACACGAAGUGAUUCGCCCCCAAUACAGGGUUUGCCCCGUUGGGCAGACCCUGUCUAUCCCUACACCAAGGGCAUUAUCGGGCUGCACCAAGAGAUAGAUGAUUUCUACCAAUGGAUAAUGCCUACUCCUGAGGAGCACUAUAUGAGACUGGAUGUGGUUCACCGUAUAGAGGAGUGUAUACAGAAGAUCUGGCCAGCAGCUACUCUUCAUAUAUUCGGCAGUUUCAGAACCGGCUUAUACCUCCCUACCAGUGAUAUUGACCUUGUGGUGGUUGGGAAAUGGGAAACUCUUCCACUACGAACCCUGGAAAAAGCCCUGCUGGACGCUAAUAUUGCAGACCCGGACACAAUCAAGGUACUGGAUAAGGCGAGUGUUCCAAUAAUCAAGAUCACGGACCGAGUAUCCAGGGUAAGGGUUGAUGUUAGCUUCAACAUGGCGAACGGGUUGAGGUCGGUUGAAUUGGUUAAACUCUACAAGAAGAGGUUUCCUCCGCUCUCUAAACUCAUCUGUGUCCUCAAACAGUUCCUUAUACAGAGGGAUCUCAACGAGGUGUUUACGGGAGGUUUGUCCUCCUACUGUUUAAUCCUAAUGGUUGUCUCAUUCCUUCAACUUCAUCCUAGACUAGACGCUUACUCCAGCUCAGCUAAUCUCGGAGUUCUACUACUAGAAUUCUUCGAGCUGUAUGGGCGUAACUUCAACUACCUGCACACAGGGAUACGAGUAGCAGGGGAGGGAGAAUAUGUUUCCAAACAGGAGAUACAGGAUAGUAUGCCUCCUGGUCAUCGACCCAGCCUGCUUUGUAUUGAGGAUCCUCUUCAAGCUGGUAACGAUGUUGGAAAAUCAAGCUACGGCGCACUUCAGGUGCGACAAGCUUUUGACUACGCGUUUGGUCAAUUGACCCGCGCGCUUUGUCGUGGUGGCGCCUCUGCUAGCCCCACCUUACUCUCAAGGAUAAUACAGGUUGACCAGGCUACGCUGGAUUAUAGGGCCUGGGUCAAACAAACCUUUCCUCAUUCUACACCGGAGGAACGAGAAGAUUCUGUGUCUCCGGUUCCACCAAUAGCAGAGGAGAAAACUAAUCCAGAGCACCAUAUAAACCCUGAGGAGAGCUUACCUUCAACCUACCUAGCUCAAGAUAAAGAGGACUCAUCGUCGGAGAGUUCGGAGAGCUGUUGUUCUUCCUCACCGGAGAGAACAUCUUCUCCGGAGCUUCCAGCUCGUCCUGCUUCCCCUACUCUGUCCCGGAGUACACCUGCCUCUGCUAUGUCUAUAAGUCCGGCGAAUAGUGAGGUUGGAACCAGAUCAAUAUCAAGGACGUCGGGACCCGCUCUUUCAGCUUCUCCCCCCACAGCACAAUCUCAAUCUAAACCUCAGUUUGCCACGCCCAAAUCUAGACACAGCACAUGGAGUAGGCGUGCCACUGGUCGGCAGGACAGGGCGGAUCUUGACUUGAAUUGGAGAGCAUCCGCUUCGGGUCCUGCCUCCGACCGGUCUAGUAACAGUGGUGGAGAGAGUAAGAAAACUGAAGGCGGAGAUAGAGCAGACAAAGAUUGGAACUGGAGAGAUCAUGAAAUAUCAAAACCCCCUUCGGGGAAAGAUAAUAAGAAAAAAGGAGCAACAACUGAACCAAUAGAGAAGAAAGAGGAACCAUCCAAAAGCGAUGUUACUAUAGUGCAACCUAAAUCUUCGGAUAAAAGAAUCCUGGAUUCUAAACCCAACAAGAAAGCAUCCGAGUCUAAUGCUCGGAAGCAAGUUGAAACGGUUGGUGGGAGAAAAUCCGAACCUCGGACAGGUAAAAGUUGUGAAGCCCCAGCUGUUGUUGAAAAAGGUUCUGGAUCCAAACUAACCCCUAUUGAUGGAGGUUCCCCUGCCUGUGACGCUAAAAAUGCUGGAAACGGGCGUUUAUCUGAUCCUUCCGCAACAACGAACAAAUUUGUCGAACAUCGAAGUGAUUUUAGUCAAGUGAAACGGUCGAAACGUAAGAAGAAAAAACGCGACAUGAACCAGAAAGAAACCUCCUCCAGUGAGUCGAAUAAAAGUGAAAUCAAAUCGCAAAGCACGAAAAAUCCCUCAAAUCGUUUUUCCGGCGUUGCAGGACCUCGAAUCCCCAAAAGGUGACGAUGCGAGUGGUCGGGGCGGAUCGCAGGGUGAGAGCACGCUCUCCAACUCUGCCUGCGAGUCCAGUCCCGAAUCAUACGACUUGGAUGACUCGCAAAAAAUAUCGUUCAGUGUAAGCUAUUUCAGCUGGAGUGUAAGUGACGAGGGAAGCGAGGAUGAAUGUGAAACUGUUACGAUAAAUUUAGAACGUCUCAAGAUACGGAAAUCUAGUCGGGAAAGAAACGAAUCUAGAUCACUUCACCCGUCCUAGCACAUUUCAUUUUAUUGUUUAGCCUCUUGCCAUUCCUUUCAUUUUCUUCCAUACACAUUAGUAAAUAACUGAAAUACCUAUUGUACUAGCCGUACACGGCAUGAUUCAUUUACCUUCUUGAAGUAUCUACCUAUAUUCCUUAACUCUUCUGCCGUGUACUGUAAUCAUGUACACAAUAACAAUUUACGCUUGAAUGUUUGUAUAAUGUAAACCUCUAUGUAUAAUUUAAUGUAUUCAGAUAAAAUAUUGUUUUUUAUAUAAUUAAUUAAUCUGGCCUCUGUCAUUUAAAUCAAAGUUAAUCAA